CUGGAGGUAUCAGAAGUGCGAAUGCUGACAUAAGUAACGAUAAAGCGGGUGAAAAGCCCGCUCGCCGGAAGACCAAGGGUUCCUGUCCAACGUUAAUCGGGGCAGGGUGAGUCGACCCCUAAGGCGAGGCCGAAAGGCGUAGUCGAUGGGAAACAGGUUAAUAUUCCUGUACUUGGUGUUACUGCGAAGGGGGGACGGAGAAGGCUAUGUUGGCCGGGCGACGGUUGUCCCGGUUUAAGCGUGUAGGCUGGUUUUCCAGGCAAAUCCGGAAAAUCAAGGCUGAGGCGUGAUGACGAGGCACUACGGUGCUGAAGCAACAAAUGCCCUGCUUCCAGGAAAAGCCUCUAAGCAUCAGGUAACAUCAAAUCGUACCCCAAACCGACACAGGUGGUCAGGUAGAGAAUACCAAGGCGCUUGAGAGAACUCGGGUGAAGGAACUAGGCAAAAUGGUGCCGUAACUUCGGGAGAAGGCACGCUGAUAUGUAGGUGAAGUCCCUCGCGGAUGGAGCUGAAAUCAGU
rnacentral:rRNA from 1 species